GGAGAGGUCGCAUAGUGGCUUAGUGCGCUGGUUUGCUAAAUCGGUGUAGGUGUAACAGCCUACCGAGGGUUCAAAUCCCUCCCUCUCCG
rnacentral:tRNA from 1 species